rnacentral:rRNA from 1 species
GAUGAACGCUGGCGGCGUGCCUAAUACAUGCAAGUCGAGCGAACAGACGAGGAGCUUGCUCCUCUGACGUUAGCGGCGGACGGGUGAGUAACACGUGGAUAACCUACCUAUAAGACUGGGAUAACUUCGGGAAACCGGAGCUAAUACCGGAUAAUAUAUUGAACCGCAUGGUUCAAUAGUGAAAGACGGUUUUGCUGUCACUUAUAGAUGGAUCCGCGCCGCAUUAGCUAGUUGGUAAGGUAACGGCUUACCAAGGCAACGAUGCGUAGCCGACCUGAGAGGGUGAUCGGCCACACUGGAACUGAGACACGGUCCAGACUCCUACGGGAGGCAGCAGUAGGGAAUCGUCCGCAAAGGGCGAAAGCCUGACGGAGCAACGCCGCGUGAGUGAUGAAGGUCAUCGGAUCGUAAAACUCUGUUAUUAGGGAAGAACAAAUGUGUAAGUAACUAUGCACGUCUUGACGGUACCUAAUCAGAAAGCCACGGCUAACUACGUG